GUUUGUGGAUGAUGAGCUCAAAGAAAUCACAGUUAUCCCUGUCUGAUACAUUUGUGCUGAACUUUUGUGAUCUGACACAAAC